UGCGGGGUGGUGCAACGGUAACACGCUAGGCUUUGGACCUAGAAUUCUUGGUUCGAAUCCAAGCCCCGCAG
rnacentral:tRNA from 2 species